GCCCGUGUGGCUCAGUGGAUAGUGUUGGCCUGUGGACCAAAGGGUUCCAGGUUCGAUUCUGGUCAAGGGCA
rnacentral:tRNA from 1 species